rnacentral:rRNA from 1 species
GUCACGCAAACGCGCACGCACAUGGACCCACUUGACCGCUUGCCCAUCGCUUGCCACACAAACCUUAUCCCUACAUCCCGUGAGUAUCUAUCCAGUUCAUCCCCACCGCCGUUCUCUCUCCCCCAAAUCCCAGCGCUGGGGACUACAGCUGAGGGGACGCCGGAGCUAAUGCGAGCCGCAGCUGCGUCCAUGGAUGCGGAGCUACAUCCUCUUCUCGAAUGAUGUCCGGAAGGAUGACAGCAGGAGCUGCAACCGGCGUCCAUGGGAGCUACGAUCGAAACUCGAGCUCCAAUCAUGGAUGGCGGGGAGCUGCAACCGGCAUCUGGAGGAGCUACAUCCGGCAUCCGGGGGGAGCUGCAAAUGGUGAACGGCGUCACGCUUUAGGCUACGGCGGCGAUGCGACCGUAGAACGGUGAGCUUUUUUUUUUUUUUUGCUACCACCGGCAAGUUGAGGUGUUACCAUGGGCAAGGCAAGGUGCUGGUAUGACGGUGGCGAGGUGGAGGUGCUGCAGCAAGAUGUCAUGGCGCAGUUUUUGGAUGUUGUUUUGUCAGAAACCAUGCCUCUUUUGAGCUGGAACUAUAUCAUUGCUGGAAUCGUGUAAAAAAUUUGCUGGAAGCAUACCAAUGUUUUCAUUGUGAACAUCUUGUUUUGCUGGAACCGUUCCAAUGUUUUGCUGGAACCAUGUUUUUUUUCCGCUGGAAUCAUGCUUUUGCUGGAAACUGCACAACUAGACAGGGGCGAGAUGUCAGCGAGGGGUGUGACGGGCAGCGAGCUGCAGGGAGCGCGUGAGAUGGAUGCGGCGAGCGACGGAAGGUGGAUUCGGCAUGCCGCCCAGGGGAUAGCAGCAGCGGCGGCGAGUGGGAGGAGCACGCACGGCAGGGUAGGAGGAUGAGAAGAGGAGCGAAGUGAAGGAAGAGGAAGACGACGAACUGAGAGGAUAAGAAUCGAACGGCUAGGGCGCGACCGGCCGAAACUUUGGCCGGCGCGCCGGCGCCUAUUACUGGCCAUAUUACUGGCCAUAUGCUAAGCUUGAAGGCUUGCGGUUGGGGUCCACCAACGGAAGAUGGCGUGACAUAAGAUGACUUAGAGUCCUAUUAUCUUUAGACAAGUCUUGCAGUCGUUUUGUUUAGUCUGCAGCCGUGUGCGAGUAGAGAUAGGAUUUUUCUUUCCUUUCAUUGCUUAUCAAGUUUUUGUUAGAUGGUUCGGUUGAUAUAAAAGCCAGGGCACAUCCUUGUAAAAUUCAGGUUAUAUUUUCUACAGGUUAGACAACAUGUGCAUUGAAUAUUAAGCGGC